rnacentral:lncRNA from 1 species
GGGCUGGUGCUCUCGUUCAGAUAGAUUUAGCUGGUGGUGCAGAGAUCCGUGAGCUUGCUUUUACAGGACUUUAAUGAUAUAUAAAAGCAGCACGAGGUGCUCCUGACUGUGGAUUAAUUUGGAGAUGACUUUCUCUGUUGAAGAGUAGCAAGACUCUCGCGAGUUCUUAAAAAUGCACUUGUUUGGUAUGAGAAUGAAAAGCAGUGGCUGAAGAACCAAUCUUCAAUGGGCAAGCCUUCUCUGUGUCUGUUCUAACACGUGCCAUUUGGGAUCCCUUGGAAUCUUCAUGUACAGAACUGGUUGCUGCCUCGUUGAGUCGGUGGGGACAGAAUAGCUCCUGGUUGACAGCAUGGGUUGUGCAGAAGGACGGAUCCUGCAGACAUCAAUAUCUGGCUUUGAGUGGCACAAAGAAAUAAAGGAAUGUGGAUUCAGACCUCACUGGGAUGCUUGGCAAUUCUAAUUCUACCCCAGACUGCAAAUGGACACACAACUGUUGUGACUUUUGUUGAAGAGGAGAAGGAUGGACUUGCCCUGAAUUCUUUCAUGUGCAAUAUCCGAAAACCCUCUCUUGGGGCCUGGAUCAGGACCCCUUUCCUAUAACAUCUUUCUGGCGACAACAAAGGGACAAUGGUGUGGAAUCCCCCUUCCCAAAUGCUACUUUUAGAUAUCACCUUUUGUCGGAACUUGGAGUUGGUAAUGACCUUCACCAUACCACCACUCUGGGACUGAGCUUCUCUCUACCCUGAUGCAAGAGACCCUAAUAGGCAGGAAUAUGACCACCCCUAUUCAGCCUGAAGAAGUUACAGAAGUUCUGAAACCCUUAGAAAUGAGGGUCUUCUUGUAAAGGGAGUGGGGAGAUAUAUCAGAGGCAUUUGAACCAGAGCAACUCCAUCUUGAGUGAGGGCUAGGAAAAUGAGGCUAGGACUUGCUGGGCUGCAUUCUCAGAAAGUCAGUCAUUCCUAGCCUCUAGAUGUUUACGGUUAAGGGAACAAAUUUAUAACAUUUACUAAACACACCCAGACUUGGGAGUGUCCAGAUAUCCCAAUAUCUGGAGAACAAAGGCAUUCCUAAUUUUGCUUUAAAGACAAUAAUAUUGAUUCUUGCAAAAUAUAGUAAUUAAGAAAAUUAAUCCUUUAUCACAAACCCUUGUAGUAAAACACAUCUCCCCAUAUAUACAAGCAUUGUACCUAAGGUGGAUGCGUUCCAUCUCUUACUUUCAGGAAUGUCCUACACUAUCUAA